rnacentral:rRNA from 2 species
CAGUGGGGAAUUUUGGACAAUGGGCGCAAGCCUGAUCCAGCCAUGCCGCGUGAGUGAAGAAGGCCUUCGGGUUGUAAAGCUCUUUCGCAAGGAAAGAAAACUUACAUACUAAUAAUAUGUGAGGAUGACGGUACCUUGAUAAGAAGCACCGGCUAACUACGUGCCAGCAGCCGCGGUAAUACGUAGGGUGCAAGCGUUAAUCGGAAUUACUGGGCGUAAAGCGAGCGCAGGCGGUUUUGUAAGUCAGAUGUGAAAGCCCCGGGCUCAACCUGGGAACUGCGUUUGAAACUACAAGGCUAGAGUAUGGGAGAGGGAGGUAGAAUUCCACGUGUAGCAGUGAAAUGCGUAGAGAUGUGGAGGAAUACCAAUGGCGAAGGCAGCCUCCUGGCCUAAUACUGACGCUCAUGCUCGAAAGCGUGGGGAGCAAACAGGAUUAGAUACCCUGGUAGUCCACGCCCUAAACGAUGUCAACUAGUUGUUGGUGGAGUAAAAUCCAUUAGUAACGCAGCUAACGCG